UGGGGAAUUUUGGACAAUGGGCGCAAGCCUGAUCCAGCCAUGCCGCGUGCAGGAUGAAGGCCUUCGGGUUGUAAACUGCUUUUGUACGGAACGAAAAGGUGCCUUCUAAUAAAGGGCGCUCAUGACGGUACCGUAAGAAUAAGCACCGGCUAACUACGUGCCAGCAGCCGCGGUAAUACGUAGGGUGCGAGCGUUAAUCGGAAUUACUGGGCGUAAAGCGUGCGCAGGCGGUUUUGUAAGACAGAGGUGAAAUCCCCGGGCUCAACCUGGGAACUGCCUUUGUGACUGCAAGGCUGGAGUGCGGCAGAGGGGGAUCGAAUUCCGCGUGUAGCAGUGAAAUGCGUAGAUAUGCGGAGGAACACCGAUGGCGAAGGCAAUCCCCUGGGCCUGCACUGACGCUCAUGCACGAAAGCGUGGGGAGCAAACA
rnacentral:rRNA from 1 species